GACGAACGCUGGCGGCGUGCUUAACACAUGCAAGUCGAACGGAAAGGCCCUGCUUUUGUGGGGUGCUCGAGUGGCGAACGGGUGAGUAACACGUGAGUAACCUGCCCUUGACUUUGGGAUAACUUCAGGAAACUGGGGCUAAUACCGGAUAGGAGCUCCUGCUGCAUGGUGGGGGUUGGAAAGUUUCGGCGGUUGGGGAUGGACUCGCGGCUUAUCAGCUUGUUGGUGGGGUAGUGGCUUACCAAGGCUUUGACGGGUAGCCGGCCUGAGAGGGUGACCGGCCACAUUGGGACUGAGAUACGGCCCAGAGUCCAACGGGAGGCAGCAGUGGGGAAUAUUGCACAAUGGGCGGAAGCCUGAUGCAGCGACGCCGCGUGCGUGAUGACGGCCUUCGGGGUGUAAACCGCUUUCGCCUGUGACGAAGCGUGAGUGACGGUAAUGGGUAAAGAAGCACCGGCUAACUACGUG
rnacentral:rRNA from 1 species